rnacentral:lncRNA from 1 species
GUGGGAAUGAGCCAAGCCCCCGGGGGCACGCAGGGCCGCCCCAUCCCGCUCUGCCUUCCUCACUGCACACUCCUCCUCCUCCUCCUGAGCAGCAGCAGUGCAGGAUGCCCCUUCCCUGCCGAGGGAACGUAUCCAUGGCCAAGAAGGAUGAGGAUGUCCUGGACAGCACUGCUGGUGCUGGUGCCAAAGGACUGGCAAAGUUCUUCACCCUGGGGCAGACUUUCCAAGCAGUCUCCCUUUCUCCCUAAAAAUGCCAUACUGACUGCUGAACAGGAUAAAGGAGAGCCCCAGGGCAUGGCAGGCAUGGUGCCCCUUGCACCAAGGGGAGCACCCCCAGCAUCUUGGCGUUGACCAUGAAGGCUGGCAGAGCUGGGGCACCCACCACGCCAGCACUCAGCACCCCAUCCUCCUCACAGGCAGCAGGACAGCAGAGCACGCUGAUGCUCCAAGCACAGCUCAGCUCUCUGCAUUCACACCCACCACUGACAGCAGGCACAGGCAGGGGAAGCAGCAUCAAGCUGCUCCUCCAGGAUCUGAAGGGGCCCUGGAUGCUUCCCUCUAUGACCAUACACCCCCCAGCAAGGACUGAUCACCAGGACACAGUCCAACUCCCCAUCACAUCACUAGCCCUCACAACCCAUUGCACCCCGCAGGGAAUAACGCAGCCCCACAACACCGUGCUCCAAGCUGCACUGCCCCAAAGGAACAUCAGGAAGAGACACUCACCCAGACAGGUCCUGGGCAGCUCAGGCUCCUCUUCCCAUUUCCACACGCCACGAGAGGAUGGGCCUGCAGCAAGCCGAUGGCCAGCACCGUGCUGCUCCCCUGCGCUCUGCCCCUCUGCAGAGAGCCCCGGAGCUGCUCAGCCUUUGAAACCAACGCCCCUGCGCACACAGACACUGGUUUGUGGGUGCUGUGCCGCCUUCAGGAUUUUUUUUUUUUUUUCCUUUCCCUUUUUUUUUUUUUUUUUUCCCAGAGCAUUUUGUACGUGCAGAUGCCCCGGCUUCUUACAAUUCAGCCCGGGGGCGUGGGAAGUGUUUUGGAACAUGCCCAAGCUGUCUGCUCCGUGCGUGCGUGCUGCUCGAUGCCAUCCAUCUCCAGCCCCCGGCCCCAACCCAGCAAAACUCCAAUGCUGGGAGCACUGGGCAAGCUUGGUGCAACCCAUUGGCAGCAGUCAGCGAGCUGGGGAAAUCUGGAGCCAGCCGUGGGGACACAGUGCUGCAGGGGCCAUGCUCAUUCCCUCACCCUUCUGCUAUCAAAAAAAUA